GACGCUCGCCACUGUAAAGGACAGUCGGAAUGCACAACAGAUGGACGCUGUACGAGAGGAUGUGAUCCAGGAUGGAACGGGAUCGACUGUACACAAGUGAAAUGUCCGAAUGGCGUCAGUUAUGGAUCCGAAUGCAACAAGCUUUGUGAGUCCCGGCAAUGUAUAGACCCUAAUGCGACAUGCGAUCCAGAAACUGGGUCUUGUAAUGGAGAAUGUCAGUCAGGAUGGGCUGGAUUUGACUGUACAGAAGCAACAUGUUUGAAUGGCGUUAAUUAUGGAUCCGAUUGUCAGAAACUGUGUGAGUCCCGGCACUGUUUGGAUCCAAAUGCAACAUGUGAUAACAAGACUGGGUCUUGUAAUGGAGAAUGUCAGAAAGGAUGGACUGGACUUGACUGUACAGAAGGUAUCUGCUUUGACCUAAACUAACCUGAGUAUGGCUUAGUGCUUCUCGGCUAUAGUAUGUUCUUUUAAGGCAGUUAGCCAUUGCUUUUGAACAGGACUAUAGUUGAUGUGGUAAUUCAAGCCGAUGGCUCGUUGGAGGGGAAGAGGGCCUAAGUUGACGAAAGCAUUGCAACAUAAAAUAAUAAAAUGUACGUUCAUUUUGCUAUGUCUAAACCUUGUUUAAUUAAUGUGCAUGACA